GACGUGGGCGGUCGCCGCUGGCGACGUCGUGAGAAUUCCACUGAACCUUAUCAUUUAGAGGAAGGAGAAGUCGUAACAAGGUUUCCGUAGGUGAACCUGCGGAAGGAUCAUUGUCGAAUCCUGCGUAGCAGAACAACCUGUGAACAUGUAACAACAAAAUGGCUUGGCUGGGAAUGAUGCUUUUGUUUCAGACCUUGUGAAGCCUUGUCAACAUGUGUUUGUGGUUGCCUCUUUUAGUCACUCAUGGAUGUCAUGUUGAUGGAACAACAACCCCUCGGCACAACACGUGCCAAGGAAAUUAAAUCUUAAGAGGGCCCGUGCUAUAACGCCCCGUACGUGGUGCGUUCAUCGUAUGUGGCUGCUAUUUUAUCUAAAACGACUCUCGGCAACGGAUAUCUUGGCUCACGCAUCGAUGAAGAACGUAGCAAAAUGCGAUACUUGGUGUGAAUUGCAGAAUCCCGUGAACCAUCGAGUUUUUGAACGCAAGUUGCGCCCGAAGCCACCUGGUUGAGGGCACGUCUGCCUGGGUGUCACGCAUCAUGUUGCCCCAAAUCAAACUUACCUCAUCGGAAUGUGUUGUUUGUGGGCGGAGAUUGGCCUCCUGUGCCCAUGGUGUUGUUGGCCAAAAUACGAGUCCCCUGAAAGAGUGACGCGCGACUGGUGGUGGUUGAUUAUACGGUAGUCUUGUGUCGUUCGUUUUUAAUCUUGACGGGAAAAAGCUCUUAAAAUACCCUAAUGGUUUGUCCUGUGACAACUGUUCGAUUGCGACCCCAGGUCAGGCGGGACUACCCGCCGAGUUUAAGCAUAUCAAUAAGCGGAGGA
rnacentral:rRNA from 1 species